CGGAGUAUAGCAUAUAAAAUGCUUUUUACUUACACUAAAAAUAAAGUUAAUAAACUUGCCCCGC
rnacentral:tRNA from 1 species